GUUCUCCUACGGGACGCAGCAGUGAGGAAUAUUGGUCAAUGGGCGGAAGCCUGAACCAGCCAAGUCGCGUGAGGGAAUAAGGCCCUACGGGUCGUAAACCUCUUUUGCCGGGGAGCAAGGGCCGGGACGAGUCCCGGUCCGGAGAGUACCCGGAGAAAAAGCAUCGGCUAACUCCGUGCCAGCAGCCGCGGUAAUGCGGAGGCUGCGAGCGUUAUCCGGAUUUAUUGGGUUUAAAGGGUGCGUAGGCGGGCUUUUAAUUCCGCGGUUAAACUUCGG
rnacentral:rRNA from 1 species